rnacentral:pre_miRNA from 1 species
UGGUCGCUCUAAGUAGUAGUGCCGCAGGUAAAUGCAAUUGAUGUUACCUGUCCUCUUCUGCUUAAACUGAACA